rnacentral:rRNA from 1 species
UACGUAGGUCGCAAGCGUUGUCCGGAUUUACUGGGCGUAAAGAGCGCGCAGGCGGCUGGUCAAGUCCGAUGUGAAAUCUCCCGGCUCAACUGGGAAACUGCAUCGGAAACUGAUCGGCUUGAAGGUGGGAGAGGGUAGUGGAAUUCCCGGUGUAGUGGUGAAAUGCGUAGAUAUCGGGAGGAACACCAGUGGCGAAGGCGGCUUCCUGGACCGACAUCUGACGCUGAGGCGCGAAGCUAGGGGAGCAAACGGG